UACGAAGGGGGGCUAGCGUUGUUCGGAAUUACUGGGCGUAAAGGGCGCGUAGGCGGUGUGUCAAGUCAGGCGUGAAAGCCCCGGGCUCAACCUGGGAACAGCGCUUGAGACUGGCACGCUCGAGUUCGGGAGAGGAUGGUGGAAUUCCCAGUGUAGAGGUGAAAUUCGUAGAUAUUGGGAAGAACACCGAUGGCGAAGGCAGCCAUCUGGACCGACACUGACGCUGAGGCGGCGAAAAGCGUGGGGAGCAAACAGG
rnacentral:rRNA from 1 species